CCUACGUGGUGCAGCAGUAGGGAAUCUUCGUCAAUGGGCGCAAGCCUGAACGAGCAAUGCCGCGUGAACGAGGAAGGUCUUCGGAUCGUAAAGUCCUGUUGAUGGGGAAAAAGAGAGGAGAGAGGAAAUGAACUCCGAUUGAUAGUAUCCUACGAGGAAGCCACGGCUAACUACGUGCCAGCAGCCGCGGUAAUACGUAGGUGGCGAGCGUUAUCCGGAAUGAUUGGGCGUAAAGGGAGCGUAGGCGGUCUGGUAAGUCUGGUGUGAAAGGGUUCGGCUUAACCGGUGUAGGGCAUUGGAAACUGGUGGAGUUGAGUGCAGGAGAGGGGAGUGGAACUCCAUGUGUAGCGGUAAAAUGCGUAGAUAUAUGGAAGAACACCAGUGGCGAAGGCGGCCGUCUGGCCUGUAACUGACGCUGAGGCUCGAAAGCGUGGGGAGAAAAUAGGAUUAGAUACCCUAGUAGUC
rnacentral:rRNA from 1 species